rnacentral:rRNA from 1 species
AGAGUUUGAUCAUGGCUCAGGAUGAACGCUGGCGGCGUGCUUAACACAUGCAAGUCGAACGGUGAAGCCCAGCUUGCUGGGUGGAUCAGUGGCGAACGGGUGAGUAACACGUGAGCAAUCUGCCCCUGACUCUGGGAUAAGCGCUGGAAACGGCGUCUAAUACUGGAUAUGAACCGUGGAGGCAUCUUCAACGGUUGGAAAGAUUUUUUGGUCAGGGAUGAGCUCGCGGCCUAUCAGCUUGUUGGUGAGGUAAUGGCUCACCAAGGCGUCGACGGGUAGCCGGCCUGAGAGGGUGACCGGCCACACUGGGACUGAGACACGGCCCAGACUCCUACGGGAGGCAGCAGUGGGGAAUAUUGCACAAUGGGCGCAAGCCUGAUGCAGCAACGCCGCGUGAGGGAUGACGGCCUUCGGGUUGUAAACCUCUUUUAGCAGGGAAGAAGCGAAAGUGACGGUACCUGCAGAAAAAGCGCCGGCUAACUACGUG